GACGAACCGUGCAAACGUUAUUCGGAAUCACUGGGCUUAAAGGGCGCGUAGGCGGGCCGCCAGGUCCGGGGUGAAAGCCUCCAGCUCAACUGGAGAAGUGCCUUGGAUACCGGCGGCCUCGAGGGAGGCAGGGGCGUGCGGAACUUCGGGUGGAGCGGUGAAAUGCGUAGAUAUCCGAAGGAACACCGGUGGCGAAAGCGGUGCGCUGGACCUCUACUGACGCUGAGGCGCGAAAGCCAGGGGAGCAAACGGG
rnacentral:rRNA from 1 species